rnacentral:misc_RNA from 1 species
AAGUCGUAACAAGGUCUCCGUAGAUGAACCUGCGGAGGGAUCAUUAAGAUGCGUCCAGCCUCUGCGCGUGGCGGCCCACCAGCCGCCGCACGCAUGCCUUGCAUCCUCGAUAUUACAGCACCUUGCGUUCUCCUUCGGCGGGUCAGCCCGCCGUCGGAACCAAAACACCCACCUUUUGCAUGCAGCAAUAACCGUUCCGAAACAAACAAUCGUUACAACUUUCAACAAUGGAUCUCUUGGCUCUG